rnacentral:rRNA from 1 species
UUCGUCACACUAUCAUUAACUGAAUCCAUAGGUUAAUGAGGCGAACCGGGGGAACUGAAACAUCUAAGUACCCCGAGGAAAAGAAAUCAACCGAGAUUCCCCCAGUAGCGGCGAGCGAACGGGGAGGAGCCCAGAGCCUGAAUCAGUGUGUGUGUUAGUGGAAGCGUCUGGAAAGGCGCGCGAUACAGGGUGACAGCCCCGUACACAAAAAUGCACAUAUUGUGAGCUCGAUGAGUAGGGCGGGACACGUGGUAUCCUGUCUGAAUAUGGGGGGACCAUCCUCCAAGGCUAAAUACUCCUGACUGACCGAUAGUGAACCAGUACCGUGAGGGAAAGGCGAAAAGAACCCCGGCGAGGGGAGUGAAAAAGAACCUGAAACCGUGUACGUACAAGCAGUGGGAGCACGCUUAGGCGUGUGACUGCGUACCUUUUGUAUAAUGGGUCAGCGACUUAUAUUCUGUAGCAAGGUUAACCGAAUAGGGGAGCCGAAGGGAAACCGAGUCUUAACUGGGCGUUAAGUUGCAGGGUAUAGACCCGAAACCCGGUGAUCUAGCCAUGGGCAGGUUGAAGGUUGGGUAACACUAACUGGAGGACCGAACCGACUAAUGUUGAAAAAUUAGCGGAUGACUUGUGGCUGGGGGUGAAAGGCCAAUCAAACCGGGAGAUAGCUGGUUCUCCCCGAAAGCUAUUUAGGUAGCGCCUCGUGAAUUCAUCUCCGGGGGUAGAGCACUGUUUCGGCAAGGGGGUCAUCCCGACUUACCAACCCGAUGCAAACUGCGAAUACCGGAGAAUGUUAUCACGGGAGACACACGGCGGGUGCUAACGUCCGUCGUGAAGAGGGAAACAACCCAGACCGCCAGCUAAGGUCCCAAAGUCAUGGUUAAGUGGGAAACGAUGUGGGAAGGCCCAGACAGCCAGGAUGUUGGCUUAGAAGCAGCCAUCAUUUAAAGAAAGCGUAAUAGCUCACUGGUCGAGUCGGCCUGCGCGGAAGAUGUAACGGGGCUAAACCAUGCAC